rnacentral:tRNA from 2 species
GUUCGAGCCUGAUUAUCCCUAAACCCAAUAGGAGUUGUGAGUUUUUCUAUUUUGACUUGCCCCCCCCGCCGU